UUUGGUGCGAUUCAGUGUAUUUAAGAUGCUCUCAAGCCCCGGUUCACAUCCCCGUUCUACACGUAUUAUACGUUACGAAUAGCUCUCGUUUUUGGAUAUUCGGAGUUUUGGUGGAUUAUUCUGUCAUGGAGCAACCAUCUAGGAAGCGUUCCCAAGUGUGGAAUAUUUAGAUUUGGUGCCACCUAAUAAGGUGCAGUGUUUGCUUUGCCCGCAGCUGCUGACGUAUAAUAAUAAUACGUCAUCAAUGCUGAGGCAUUAUUGAGCCAAACACGAGAACCCUCAGCCUCGUGCCACCAAUCAAGGAUCCAGAAAGCAAGAGCUUGAUGAAGCUCUUGUGGACUUCAUAGUGAAGGACUCCCAGCCUUUCACUGUAUCCAAACCUAUACCACCUAGCCAAACAGUUCCUAGUCACACCAGCCUCCUUUGUUCCCUGUGAAAUAGUAUUUUCCAAAGCUGGAGA